GAUGAACGCUAGCUACAGGCUUAACACAUGCAAGUCGAGGGGUAGCAGGGUAGCAAUACCGCUGACGACCGGCGCACGGGUGAGUAACACGUAUCCAACCUUCCCAUAACUCGGGAUAGCCUUUCGAAAGAAAGAUUAAUACCCGAUAGUACUUUUUCAAGGCAUCUUGAGAAAGUUAAAGAUUUAUUGGUUAUGGAUGGGGAUGCGUGCCAUUAGAUAGUUGGUGAGGUAACGGCUCACCAAGUCUUCGAUGGAUAGGGGUUCUGAGAGGAAGGGCCCCCACAUUGGUACGGAGACACGGACUGAACUCCUACGGGAGGCAGAAAGGAGUAAUAUUGGUCAAUGGGCGAGAGCCUGAACCAGCCAAGUAGCGUGAAGGAUGAAGGUCCUAUGGAUUGUAAACUUCUUUUAUAGUAGAAUAAAGUAAUCCACGUGUGGAUUUUUGUAUGUAUACUAUGAAUAAGGAUCGGCUAACUCCGUGCCAGCCGCCGCAGUAAGAC
rnacentral:rRNA from 1 species